UUAUUGCAUUCCUUUGUUUGUUGGGAUGGCUUUCUAACCAGCUGGCUGCAGGAUUGGAUGAUGGUAGGGAAGCAAUGCAAAUGUGUGCCUAGACUUCCUCCUCCUGCGUGUAGGUUAGCCUUUGAAUUGUCUUAACUGCUUUGUUAGGCUGCACUCUGUGGUUCUGUUGGCUAAUUAUUGGGAGCAGCUGAACCCCGGAGAAAGAUGAAAGCACAUCACACAGGCCCUGCAAAUUGUUAGUGGGAAGGCUCUGACAACUGAGGAGGAGGAUGAUUUGUAUGGUCUUCUAGCUAAACUGCAGAGUUUCAGAGAGAACUUGGCUGUGAAGAAGGAAGGUUUGGAGGGAGAGAUACGAAUGUGAGGAAGCUCCUUUGUCUUUUCUGAUGAAGCUUACAAUUACUUGGAGUAACAAAUGCCAUGAGUGUAAAACUGGCUACAAACUGCAGAGCUCAUCCAAGUCUGCUGAUGACCAAGAAAAUGAAAACACAACAAAACUAAUGAAAUUUCAACACUUCUUCAAAUUGAGAAAUACUUAUUCCUCAGGGCAGUGUAGUCCUCUGGUCAUCUCAGAGAUUACUGUGGUGUGUAGAUGA
rnacentral:lncRNA from 1 species